UGGUGUGUGAAGAUGAAAGUG
rnacentral:misc_RNA from 1 species